rnacentral:rRNA from 1 species
CCUACGGGGAGCAGCAGUGGGGCAUAUUGGGCAAUGGGCGCAAGCCUGACCCAGCAAUGCCGCGUGAAGGAAGAAGGCUUUCGGGUUGUAAACUUCUUUGACAGGGGAAGAGCAGAAGACGGUACCCUGAAAACAAGCCACGGCUAACUACGUGCCAGCAGCCGCGGUAAUAGGUAGGUGGCAAGCGUUGUCCGGAUUUACUGGGUGUAAAGGGCGUGUAGCCGGGAAGGCAAGUCAGAUGUUAAAUCUGGAGGCUCAACCUCCAAAUUGCAUUUGAAACUGUUUUUCUUGAGUACUGGAGAGGCAGACGGAAUUCCUUGUGUAGCGGUGAAAUGCGUAGAUAUAAGGAGGAACACCAGUGGCGAAGGUGGUCUGCUGGACAGCAACUGACGGUGAGGCGCGAAAGCGUGGGGAGCAAACAGGAUUAGAUACCCCAGUAGUC